rnacentral:tRNA from 1 species
GGGCGGUUAGCUCAGCUGGGAGAGCGAGCGGUUUACACCCGCUAGGUCGGCGGUUCGAUCCCGUCACCGCCCACCA